rfam:Eggerthia catenaformis OT 569 = DSM 20559 genomic scaffold acdBZ-supercont1.7, whole genome shotgun sequence.
GAGAACUGACAAUCUGAUAGGUAGAAUGACGGGGUAACGCCCUGAAAUGCCUACACUGAUACUCCGAUUGGCAAUGAAUAUUAGACUAUUUCAUUGUCAAAAGCUCGGUGAAGUCGGCAGAGAGUAGCCGUAAGACUGGUAUUUCAUAUCAGACACGAAAGCUGUUCAGAGGUGGACGGUGCUACCUAUAUGCCGGGUGUCGAAUAC